AUGCUUUUCACAUCACUGCUGGAUCUUGGGUUCCUGGGGCUGCUGAAUCCGAAAUGUCUGAGUCCUGUCAGUUUUCAUUUAUGCAGACACGAGAGACACGUCACUUCAGAGAUGAAUCAUUUUACCACAUGUUUGGCAGGUGACGUCAGCAUAGCAUUUUCUGUCAGUUUAUCUUCACUUAGGUGUGUGUGUGUGUGUGGCCUCUACACUGACACUCUCACCAUCAGAGCCACAGGGCCAGAGCCCAUGCUAAUCUCAUUAUCACAGCUCUCUGACGCCAACCCACCCAGUUCUCACGUGUCGAGGAGAGGAGAUGAUUAAGGCCAGCUGCUUUAUUGCGUGCACACUUACGCACACACGCUCACACAUAGUCAGACAUGCUGAUGCAAACAAACACACUUUUGUGGAUGCAGCAUCUCUGAGUCUUGGAAGACAGACAGCACUACACCAAAUUUUGUUAAAUAGAGGACAACUGACAUAUUAAUUCUUCUUAAGCAAUUAAUUUUAUUUACAUGAAACGGGAUGAACCCACAGGAAAGAAAAAAAAUAUCUAAGGCAAAAAUCUCUUGUUUUAAUUAAUGUCUGUAACUCUCUGUUGUUUUUCCAUAAUGAUGAGAUUAAAAUGAAAAUAUUGCUUAAGUCUCAUGCUUUUCUGAUAUUUCUUAUGAAAACUAUUCUACUUAUGCUACCAUUGAAACCCUGUUUCUGUCCCAUCUUCACCUCCCUCUUCAAAAGUGUCAUGUGCUUCCUGAGACAAUGCUUCUAACAUCACUGUUUUUUUCUUCUUUUCUUUUUCUACCUAAAUUAAGGCUUGUUAAAGCAUCACUCGCAUUUUCCUCAGAAAAUGUAAUACACAUGCAUUAUAUUAACUCUCCAGCACACAUAGUCCAUCCAAAUAGGAAGUAGCGAGGGUGUUGAAAAGUCACGGUUUCACAUUACGUCACAAACAAUUGUUGAAGUUGCAGAGUGUAUGCAUCCUUAAAUGGUUUCCAUUUGAGUGCACGUAUAAAAGGAAACACUUUAACAUUAGGCAGAAAGCUGACUGCUCCAUUACAUUUGACCUUGUUUAGUCAAAUGCCAGAGAGUGCCUUGAAAGAUGAAAUGUCCUUUAAAUGCCCCAAAGGCAGAUAGAUUGAUCUAAAAAAGGGACUUAACUGUGAUUCAUGUCUACAAUUUAACUCUGCACCUGUGUUUGAAGGCCAGACCUGUCAGCUGUCAGCUUAUCAAUCACUGCUCAUAAUCUUCUCAAAGUUGCAUUGAUUAUCAGGUCAGAGACUUCCUCUCCAUAACCCUGCAGCUGGAUGUUAUUUUAGCCUGUACCUCAGGGUCUUUAAAUGAGUUUUCAGGGUUGAAGAAUGUUAGUCAAAAUGGUGUCAAUUCACACGCCUUAUUUAUCCUCUGUGGGCUUUUAGAGAGACUUCCUCUCUGAAAAUGAUAAUGUGCUACUUUUGUACACAGAAUGGGAAGUUAACUGAUAUUUAAUGGCUCAUUAUCUGACAUAUUUUCUCAGGUCUCCUUUUUCUUAGGAUUACAGUGUGAGAAUAACAAAUGUUGAAAACCCCUUAUCCAAAAUAUUUUAACCCUACUCAUGAUAUAUUGAUAAUGGACAGGAGCUUUACUUCAGGGUCUUUACUUCAGGGUCUUAAACUGGACUAUUGCAUUACAUUUGACAUGAUACAAUUGUUUACAAGAGCAGUGUUAGUAGAGACAUAUCCCAACAGACUAAAGGCUGUAAUUAAAGCAAAUGGUGGUUCAACAAAAUACUGACACAAGGGGGUGAUCCUUUUGCCAAAUCAGUGAUUCUGUUAUUUUUAUUCUACAAACCCGAUUCCAAAAAAGUUGGGACACUGUACAAAUUGUGAAUAAAAUCAGAAUGCAAUGAUGUGGAAGUUUCA
ensembl:lncRNA